UUUUACAAUGGAGAGUUUGAUCCUGGCUCAGGAUGAACGCUAGCUACAGGCUUAACACAUGCAAGUCGAGGGGAAACGACAUCGAAAGCUUGCUUUUG
rnacentral:rRNA from 1 species